rnacentral:rRNA from 1 species
AGCAGCCGCGGUAAUUCCAGCUCCAAUAGCGUAUAUUAAAGUUGUUGCAGUUAAAAAGCUCGUAGUUGAAUUUCGGGAUCAAUAUAUCGGUCGUGCCUUUGGUACGUACUGGUAUCAUUGAUUUCUCCUUUCUGACGAAUCAUGAUGUCAUUAAUUUGGUGUUAUGAGGAGUUAGGACUGUUACUUUGAAAAAAAUUAGAGUGUUUAAAGCAGGCAUUAGCUUGAAUACAUUAGCAUGGAAUAAUGAAAUAGGACGUUUGACCCUAUUUUGUUGGUUUUUAGGAUCGACGUAAUGAUUAAUAGGGAUAGUUGGGGGCAUUAGUAUUCAAUUGUCAGAGGUGAAAUUCUUGGAUUUAUUGAAGACUAACUACUGCGAAAGCAUUUGCCAAGGAUGUUUUCAUUAAUCAAGAACGAAAGUUAGGGGAUCGAAGACGAUCAGAUACCGUCGUAGUCUUAACCAUAAACUAUGCCGACUAGGGAUCGGAUGAUGUUAAUUUUAUAAUGACUCAUUCGGCGCCUU